rnacentral:rRNA from 1 species
UUGGAGGGCAAGUCUGGUGCCAGCAGCCGCGGUAAUUCCAGCUCCAAUAGCGUAUAUUAAAGUUGUUGCAGUUAAAAAGCUCGUAGUUGAAUUUCGGGAUCAGCAGGUUGGUCGUGCCUCUGGUAUGCACUGGUUUCGCUGAUUCCUCCUUUCUGAAGAACUGUAAUGUCAUUAAUUUGGUGUUGCAGGGAAACAGGACUGUUACUUUGAAAAAAUUAGAGUGUUUAAAGCAGGCUAACGCUUGAAUACAUUAGCAUGGAAUAAUGAAAUAGGACGUUUGAUCCUAUUUUGUUGGUUUCUAGGAUUGACGUAAUGAUUAAUAGGGAUAGUUGGGGGCAUUAGUAUUCAAUUGUCAGAGGUGAAAUUCUUGGAUUUAUUGAAGACUAACUACUGCGAAAGCAUUUGCCAAGGAUGUUUUCAUUAAUCAAGAACGAAAGUUAGGGGAUCAAAGACGAUCAGAUACCGUCGUAGUCUUAACCAUAAACUAUGCCGACUAGGGAUCGGAUGAUGUUAAUUUUUUAAUGACUCAUUCGGCGCCUUACGGGAAAC